rnacentral:rRNA from 1 species
GAUGAACGCUGGCGGCGUGCCUAAUACAUGCAAGUCGAACGGCAGCACGGGUGCUUGCACCUGGUGGCGAGUGGCGAACGGGUGAGUAAUACAUCGGAACGUACCUUAUCGUGGGGGAUAACGCAGCGAAAGCUGUGCUAAUACCGCAUACGCCCUGAGGGGGAAAGCGGGGGAUCGAAAGACCUCGCGCGAUUAGAGCGGCCGAUGCCUGAUUAGCUUGUUGGUGGGGUAAAAGCCCACCAAGGCGACGAUCAGUAGCUGGUCUGAGAGGACGAUCAGCCACACUGGGACUGAGACACGGCCCAGACUCCUACGGGAGGCAGCAGUGGGGAAUUUUGGACAAUGGGGGCAACCCUGAUCCAGCAAUGCCGCGUGAGUGAAGAAGGCCUUCGGGUUGUAAAGCUCUUUUGUCAGGGAAGAAACACCGGCUCUAACACAGUCCGGGAAUGACGGUACCUGAAGAAUAAGCACCGGCUAACUACGUGCCAGCAGCCGCCGUAA